GACGAACGCUGGCGGCGUGCCUAAUACAUGCAAGUAGAACGCUGAAGAGAGCAGCUUGCUCUUCUUGGAUGAGUUGCGAACGGGUGAGUAACGCGUAGGUAACCUGCCUUGUAGCGGGGGAUAACUAUUGGAAACGAUAGCUAAUACCGCAUAACAAUGGAUGACACAUGUCAUUUAUUUGAAAGGGGCAAUUGUUCCACUACAAGAUGGACCUGCGUUGUAUUAGCUAGUAGGUGAGGUAAUGGCUCACCUAGGCGACGAUACAUAGCCGACCUGAGAGGGUGAUCGGCCACACUGGGACUGAGACACGGCCCAGACUCCUACGGGAGGCAGCAGUAGGGAAUCUUCGGCAAUGGGGGCAACCCUGACCGAGCAACGCCGCGUGAGUGAAGAAGGUUUUCGGAUCGUAAAGCUCUGUUGUAAGUCAAGAACGGGUGUGAGAGUGGAAAGUUCACACUGUGACGGUAGCUUACCAGAAAGGGACGGCUAACUACGUG
rnacentral:rRNA from 1 species